rnacentral:rRNA from 1 species
UACGAAGGGGGCUAGCGUUGCUCGGAAUCACUGGGCGUAAAGCGCACGUAGGCGGAUCUUUAAGUCAGAGGUGAAAUCCCAAGGCUCAACCUUGGAACUGCCUUUGAUACUGGGGAUCUCGAGUCCGGAAGAGGUGAGUGGAACUGCGAGUGUAGAGGUGAAAUUCGUAGAUAUUCGCAAGAACACCGGUGGCGAAGGCGGCGACCUGGUCCUUGACUGACGCUGAGGCGCGAAAGCGUGGGGAGCAAACAGG